ACUGGUUGCCGUGGUAACAGGCCUCCGGUGGAGGGCGGGGACCCUCGGAAGCCAGCUGGGUGGCGAUCGCUUGUCUGCCUUGGCAGGCCCCUUGUGCAGUCUUUUCCCGGCGUGAGCGUGCAGGGAUUGAAAAGGAAUGCUUUAUGGUUCAGCAGAGAGCCACCACGCAGGAUGCACUGGGACCUGAGAACCGUCGGGCAGUCCCACGAGCUCUUUCAUGACCAGCUCCAACCGACAAGUACACGCCCCUUCGCACUCCACUAGCUAGUAAGCUGAGCUACAAGGUGUGCCAGGCACCCAGGACGCCGAUUCACCGCUUCAGUGAAGGCCCAGCUCAAAUGCCACCUCUUCCAUGAAGACUUCCGUGAUCCACAAUGAUAGCAUCUCCAGCAAUUGCUUCUAUAAUGAAUAGCAUGAGUCAUUCUGCAGGAUGUUGAUCUUCCUUUUUUUACUCCUAGACUGAAUUUUUCCACCACCUGGAUGAACAUAGCAGAAAGAACAUAGUGUUUUAGAGUCAGACACAAUAGGAAUCAGGCACUUUGGAAUCUUGGCUCUACCACCUUUGAGCUAUGUAUCCCAAGGCAAGUCACUUCCCCUCUCUCAGCUUUAAAAUAGUAAUAGGAUUGCUGUAGGGAUUAAAGUAAAUCAACAUAUGUAAAGUGCCCACACAGGACCUGGCAUAUAGUAGUUGCAUUUUAAAUUUUUUAAACAAAAUGUAAGCAUACUAUCUUUCCAGGGUGUUCAGAAGCCUGAAAAACACCUUGGAUCUUUUCUCAGAGCUGGAUCACAAA
ensembl:lncRNA UVRAG-DT UVRAG divergent transcript